rnacentral:rRNA from 1 species
GACGAACGCUGGCGGCGUGCUUAACACAUGCAAGUCGAGCGGUAAGGCCCUUUCGGGGGUACGACGAGCGGCGAACGGGUGAGUAACACGUGGGUGACCUGCCCUCAGCUCUGGGAUAAGCCUGGGAAACUGGGUCUAAUACUGGAUAUGACUCCACGGUGCAUGUCGUGGGGUGGAAAGCCUUGUGCGGCUGAGGAUGGGCCCGCGGCCUAUCAGCUUGUUGGUGGGGUGANGGCCUACCAAGGCGACGACGGGUAGCCGGCCUGAGAGGGCGACCGGCCACACUGGGACUGAGACACGGCCCAGACUCCUACGGGAGGCAGCAGUGGGGAAUCUUGCGCAAUGGGCGAAAGCCUGACGCAGCGACGCCGCGUGAGGGAUGACGGCCUCGGUUGUAACGUACUUCUA